ACACCGAUGGUGAAGCGGUUAUCAUGCUUGCCUUCCAUUUACAGUGAAACAGAGUGCAGCAAGCGGCAGGGGUUCGACUCCCCUUCGGUGUA